rnacentral:lncRNA from 1 species
AAAGGACAUGUGAGCUGGAUAAGAACAAAAGGUGUGUUCUCUCAAUGUUAGGUAUUAUCUGAACGGAGCAAGCUUUAGGUAAGUGUUAAUUCUAAUCUGGUACGUGUCAAAUCUGGGUGCAUGUUUUUUGGAUUUCCAGCACUUUCUUCUGUACCCAAUUGACCACUAUGUGGUGACUAUAAAAAACUAUGUUCUCCAUUAUCUG